rnacentral:rRNA from 1 species
GGAGUUUGGACCGUGUCUCAGUUCCAAUGUGGGGGACCUUCCUCUCAGAACCCCUACUGAUCGUCGGCUUGGUGGGCCGUUACCCCGCCAACAACCUAAUCAGUCGCAUCCUCAUCCAUCGCCGAUAAAUCUUUAUUAACUCUGAGAUGCCUCAAAGUUAAACCAUCAGGUAUUAAUCUUUCUUUCGAAAGGCUAUCCCUGAGCCAUGGGUAGAUUACCUACGCGUUACUCACCCGUCCGCCGCUGUCCAUCUUCUUACUUCGACGAAUCUCUGUUCGAAGACUUCUCGCUCGACUUGCAUGUGUUAGGCACGCCGCCAGCGUUCAUC